rnacentral:rRNA from 1 species
UACAGAGGGUGGCGAGCGUUGUCCGGAAUCACUGGGCGUAAAGGGCGCGUAGGUGGUGGCUUAAGCGUGCGGUGAAAGCUCGGGGCUCAACUCCGAGUCGGCCGUGCGAACUGGGCUCACUGGAGCAUAGUAGAGGCAGGUGGAAUUCCGGGUGUAGCGGUGGAAUGCGUAGAGAUCCGGAAGAACACCGGUGGCGAAGGCGGCCUGCUGGGCUAUGGCUGACACUGAGGCGCGACAGCGUGGGGAGCAAACAGG